GACGUAGGGCGCGAGCGUUUGUCCGGAUUUAUUGGGCGUAAAGAGCUCGUAGGCGGCUUGUUGCGUCAGCUGUGAAAACCCGCGAGCUCAACUGUGGGCUUGCAGCUGAUACGGGCAGGCUUGAGUUCGGUAGGGGAGACUGGAUUCCAGGUGUAGCGGUGAAAUGCGUAGAUAUCUGGAGGAACACCGGUGGCGAAGGCGGCAUCCGUGGACCGACACUGACACUGAGGAGCGAAAGCCAGGGGAGCAAAGCGGG
rnacentral:rRNA from 1 species